GUGUCAGCCGCCGCGGUAAUACGAAGGGGGCGAGCGUUGUUCGGAUUUACUGGGCGUAAAGGGCGCGCAGGCGGCUCAUUUUGUCAGGCGUGAAAGCCCCGGGCUUAACCUGGGAACUGCGUUUGAUACGGAUGGGCUAGAGUUCGGGAGAGGAGAGUGGAAUUCCCAGUGUAGAGGUGAAAUUCGUAGAUAUUGGGAAGAACACCGGUGGCGAAGGCGGCUCUCUGGACCGAGACUGACGCUGAGGCGCGAAAGCGUGGGGAGCAAACAGGAUUAGAUACCCUGGUAGUCCACGCUGUAAACGAUGUGUGCUAGACGUUGGGGAGCCUAGCUCUUCGGUGUCGCAGCUAACGCGGUAAGCACACCGCCUGGGGAGUACGGCCGCAAGGUUAAA
rnacentral:rRNA from 1 species